UAUCGCCUAAUUGCAGAUCCGUCUGACUGAUGUCGUCAGGCUGGCUAUGAUCUUGAGAAGGAAUCAAUGUUGCGACAAAAUCAAAUCUACCCGUGAAUACUUGCAUCAAAAAAGUAUAAAUCAUGCAACAAAGUACGAACAUUGAUUUCGACCUCGAUGUAAAUUCUCAGAGCGUCUACACGUUAUAUUGUUUCUUCAAAUUGAAUUCACACAAUGAAGAUUGUCAGAAAAUUUUUACAGGAAAUUUUCAUUUUACAGGACGGAAUUCAAUUCCUGUUAUCAAUGUCACUUUAUUACUGUUGUGCAUCAUGCUGAUUGAAAUACGCAUUUAGAUAUGUAUUAGGUUUGGAAUGAGUCCCCUUUGUGCUUCUUGGCAGUCUGAUUGUCAUCAUGACUUUCUGGAGUUUGUGUCGGCUUAAUGAGCCGUUAUAAGUUCACGUAUUCCAGAUUGAAAAUGGGAUUUUACCAGCAGCCUUUCAAGAAAUGUGCCACUGAUGAAUGACAAUUUUUUUACACAGUAAUACUAAUACCUUCAAUAUUACCAGGGAGUUGCCCGCUGAUAUUAAUCGCCUGUGGACCAAAAACUGCCUGUUCACUGGUUGGAGCUGCAGU